rnacentral:rRNA from 1 species
GCUAUAAUGCAGUCGAGCGAAUGGAUUAAGAGCUUGCUCUUAUGAAGUUAGCGGCGGACGGGUGAGUAACACGUGGGUAACCUGCCCAUAAGACUGGGAUAACUCCGGGAAACCGGGGCUAAUACCGGAUAACAUUUUGAACUGCAUGGUUCGAAAUUGAAAGGCGGCUUCGGCUGUCACUUAUGGAUGGACCCGCGUCGCAUUAGCUAGUUGGUGAGGUAACGGCUCACCAAGGCAACAUGCGUAGCCGACCUGAGAGGGUGAUCGGCCACACUGGGACUGAGACACGGCCCAGACUCUACGGGAGGCAGCAGUAGGGAAUCUUCCGCAAUGGACGAAAGUCUGACGGAGCAACGCCGCGUGAGUGAUGAAGGCUUUCGGGUCGUAAAACUCUGUUGUUAGGGAAGAACAAGUGCUAGUUGAAUAAGCUGGCACCUUGACGGUACCUAACCAGAAAGCCACGGCUAACUACGUGCCAGCAGCCGCGGUAAUACGUAGGUGGCAAGCGUUAUCCGGAAUUAUUGGGCGUAAAGCGCGCGCAGGUGGUUUCUUAAGUCUGAUGUGAAAGCCCACGGCUCAACCGUGGAGGGUCAUUGGAAACUGGGAGACUUGAGUGCAGAAGAGGAAAGUGGAAUUCCAUGUGUAGCGGUGAAAUGCGUAGAGAUAUGGAGGAACACCAGUGGCGAAGGCGACUUUCUGGUCUGUAACUGACACUGAGGCGCGAAAGCGUGGGGAGCAAACAGGAUUAGAUACCCUGGUAGUCCACGCCGUAAACGAUGAGUGCUAAGUGUUAGAGGGUUUCCGCCCUUUAGUGCUGAAGUUAACGCAUUAAGCACUCCGCCUGGGGAGUACGGCCGCAAGGCUGAAACUCAAAGGAAUUGACG